rnacentral:rRNA from 1 species
CAGUCGCCGCGGUAAUACGGAGGGUGCAAGCGUUAAUCGGAAUUACUGGGCGUAAAGCGUGCGCAGGCGGUUAUGUAAGACAGUUGUGAAAUCCCCGGGCUCAACCUGGGAACUGCAUCUGUGACUGCAUAGCUAGAGUACGGUAGAGGGGGAUGGAAUUCCGCGUGUAGCAGUGAAAUGCGUAGAUAUGCGGAGGAACACCGAUGGCGAAGGCAAUCCCCUGGACCUGUACUGACGCUCAUGCACGAAAGCGUGGGGAGCAAACAGGAUUAGAUACCCCCGUAGUCCCUGUCUCUUAUAC